rnacentral:rRNA from 1 species
GACGAACGCUGGCGGCGUGCCUAAUACAUGCAAGUCGAACGCAGAGGCGAGGAGCUUGCUCUUCUUGCGUGAGGUGCGAACGGGUGAGUAACGCGUGGAUAACCUGCCUGGUAGCGGGGGAUAACUAUUGGAAACGGUAGCUAAUACCGCAUAACAUUGUGUGACACAUGGCAUUUAUGUGAAAGGCGGACUUGCUGUACUGAAUGGUGGAAUUGCGGCGUAUUAGUCUGUUGGUGAGGUAAUGGGUCUCCUAGGGGAAGCUUCGGAGCCGACCUGAGCGGGGGGGUGGCCACCCUGGGACGGUGACACGGCCCAUACUCCCACGGGAGGGAGCAAGAGGGAAACGUCGGCAAUCGGGGCAAACCUUACCGAGCAACGCCGAGUGCGGGAAGAAGGGUUUCGGGUCCGAAAGCUCUGGUUUCAGUCAAGAACCCGUUUUCGACUGUAACGUUCACACUGUGACGGUAGCUGAUCAGAAAGCGACGGCUAACUACGUG